AAAUUGAAGAGUUUGAUCAUGGCUCAGAUUGAACGCUGGCGGCAGGCCUAACACAUGCAAGUCGAACGGUAACAGGAAGCAGCUUGCUGCUUUGCUGACGAGUGGCGGACGGGUGAGUAAUGUCUGGGAAACUGCCUGAUGGAGGGGGAUAACUACUGGAAACGGUGGCUAAUACCGCAUAACGUCGCAAGACCAAAGAGGGGGACCUUCGGGCCUCUUGCCAUCAGAUGUGCCCAGAUGGGAUUAGCUAGUUGGUGAGGUAACGGCUCACCAAGGCGACGAUCCCUAGCUGGUCUGAGAGGAUGACCAGCCACACUGGAACUGAGACACGGUCCAGACUCCUACGGGAGGCAGCAGUGGGGAAUAUUGCACAAUGGGCGCAAGCCUGAUGCAGCCAUGCCGCGUGUAUGAA
rnacentral:rRNA from 1 species